GCCUGGCUGGCUCAAUCAGUGGAGCAUGUGACUGUUGAUCUCAGGGUUGUGAGUUUGAGCCCCAUGUUGGGUG
rnacentral:tRNA from 1 species